rnacentral:rRNA from 1 species
UACGUAGGGUGCGAGCGUUGUCCGGAAUUAUUGGGCGUAAAGAGCUCGUAGGCGGUUUGUCACGUCUGCUGUGAAAAUCCCCGAGGCUCAACCUCGGGCCUGCAGUGGGUACGGGCAGACUGGAGUGCGGUAGGGGGAGAAUGGAAUUCCUGGUGUAGCGGUGGAAUGCGCAGAUAUCAGGAGGAACACCGAUGGCGAAGGCAGUUCUCUGGGCCUAACUGACGCUGAGGAGCGAAAGCGUGGGGGAGCGAACAGG